UGGAUCCAGACUUUGAUCAUGGCUCAGGACGAACGCUGGCGGCGUGCUUAACACAUGCAAGCCGAACGAUGAAGUUCGGACAGAGACUUCGGUCAAUAGAAGAACGGAAUAGUGGCGGACGGGUGAGUAACGCGUGAGUAACCUGCCUUUCAGAGUGGAAUAACAUUUGGAAAUGAAUGGUAAUACCGCAUAACAUUAUGAUGUCGCAUGACAAUGUAAUCAAAGGAGCAAUCCGCUGAAAGAUGGACUCGCGUCCGAUUAGCUGGUUGGUGAGGUAACGGCCCACCAAGGCGACGAUCGGUAGCCGGACUGAGAGGUUGGACGGCCACAUUGGGACUGAGACACGGCCCAGACUCCUACGGGAGGCAGCAGUGGGGAAUAUUGCACAAUGGGGGAAACCCUGGUGCAGCAACGCCGCGUGAAGGAAGACGGUCUUCGGAUUGUAAACUUUUGUUCUUAGUGAAGAAAAAUGACGGUAGCUAAGGAGGAAGCCACGGCUAACUACGUGCCAGCAGCCGCGGUAAUACGUAGGUGGCAAGCGUUGUCCGGAAUUACUGGGUGUAAAGGGAGCGCAGGCGGGAGAUCAAGUUGGAUGUGAAAUACCGAGGCUUAACCACGGAGCUGCAUCCAAAACUGAUUUUCUUGAGUGAAGUAGAGGUAGGCGGAAUUCCGAGUGUAGCGGUGAAAUGCGUAGAUAUUCGGAGGAACACCAGUGGCGAAGGCGGCCUACUGGGCUUUAACUGACGCUGAGGCUUGAAAGUGUGGGGAGCAAACAGGAUUAGAUACCCUGGUAGUCCACACUGUAAACGAUGAUUGCUAGGUGUGGGGGGUCUGACCCCCUCCGUGCCGGAGUUAACGCAAUAAGCAAUCCACCUGGGGAGUACGGCCGCAAGGUUGCAACUCAAAGGAAUUGACGGA
rnacentral:rRNA from 1 species